rnacentral:tRNA from 1 species
GGCGAGGUACCCAAGUGGUAAGGGAGAGGUUUGCAAAACCUUCAUUCAGGGGUUCGAUUCCCCUCCUCGCCUCCA